GCCCCCGUUGUCUAAUGGCUAUGACGUCAGACUUCUAACCAAGACUCGGGGCGAUCUGGAGGUUGCGGGUUCGAGUCCCGCCGGGGGUU